rnacentral:rRNA from 1 species
ACGAUAUACCCUGAGUGGGGGAAGCCCGAGAACUCGGAUUAAUACCGCAUGUGAUCUUCGGAUCAAAGAUGGCUUCGGCUGUCGCUUUGGGAUGGGCUCGCGGCCUAUCAGCUUGUUGGUGAGGUAACGGCUCACCAAGGCGACGACGGGUAGCUGGUCUGAGAGGACGAUCAGCCUCACUGGAACUGAGACACGGUUCAGACACCUACGGGUGGCAGCAGUCGAGAAUCAUUCACAAUGGACGAAAGUCUGAUGGUGCAACGCCGCGUGGAGGAUGAAGGCCCUAGGGUCGUAAACUCCUGUCAUCAGGGAGUAAGUCUUAGUCGUUAAUAGCUUCUAAGAUUGAUAGUACCUGAAGAGGAAGGGACGGCUAACUUCGUGCCAGCAGCCGCGGUAAUACGAAGGUCCCAAGCGUUGUUCGGAAUCACUGGGCGUAAAGAGUAUGUAGGCGGUCUGGAAAGUCAGGUGUGAAAGCCCGGGGCUCAACCUCGGAACUGCACCCGAUACUCCCAGACUAGAGUAAUGGAGGGGUGACUGGAAUUCUCGGUGUAGCAGUGAAAUGCGUAGAUAUCGAGAGGAACACUCGUGGCGAAGGCGAGUCACUGGACAUUUACUGACGCUGAGAUACGAAGGCUAGGGUAGCGAAUGGGAUUAGAUACCCCUGUAGU